rnacentral:lncRNA from 1 species
CACAUCCUUCCUUUUGUCUAUAUUAAUAUGAUAUUCUCCUGGAAAGAGCUCUUUUUGAAUAAAAGGGAUCAACGAACCCAUUACCUUACCUUUAAGAUAGAUCAGUAAACAUGAGCAUAAUUAUGGGUGAUUAUUCAGACUAGUGCACACAUUUUACAGUUCAGUUUUCUUUUGGUCGUGUACUUUUCUGCUAGACUCAUACCCCUCCCUCUUCCUCUUCCUCUCCCUCUCCCUGAUUUUGGUGGCAUUAUAUGCAGAGACUCAGAGUCAAGUUUUACCCUUCAAGCCCACGGUCUUCCGUCUUAUGAUUAAACCAGAAAUUAAAUGUACAAUAUAAUAUAUAUUCAAUAUUGAUCAAACAAUUUAAAACGCGUGAUGCCUUCGGCAUAUAAUUUAAAUGCACCGUAAGCUGUACACGACGUCUUUAAGACAUCGUAUGGCCAUCGCGCCAUCAUCGUAAUCCAUCGUGUAACCUUCGUAAUCCAUCGUAUAGCCUUCGUGAUCCGUCGUGUAGGCUUCGGCUGAGAUAUGAAGCUUAUAUACCCGUCUUCGGUUAACCUUCGUAUGUCCAUCUUUUGUUAUCGUAUAUAAUUUCGGCAC